UGUAGCUCAGGUGGUUAGAGCGCACCCCUGAUAAGGGUGAGGUCGGUGGUUCAAGUCCACUCACCAUCU
rnacentral:tRNA from 1 species